UUUUUUUUUUUUUAAUAUUAUUUAAUUUAAUAUUAGUUGUUUGGAUGCAAAUUUAUUGAAAUGUGUGUUGUUCUGGCAGUUGGUUUUACUCGACAAUAAUUUUGUUUGGAUUCUUGUGUUCUUUGAUAAGCUGUGAUGUAAGGAACUGGCCUAUUAUGAGAUAUCAAAACUUAAUCAAAUUUUAUAGUAUUCCUGCAUGAUUUACAUAAUUUACAAAAUUAUGGCUUUUCUCUUUCUCUUUUGCUUUUUGGGUGCCCAGAAAUUUGCUUUUACUGUCAGUACUGCUGAUUUGGUUUGAUAAAAGAUUUCACAAGUAUCCUAAUUGGCAUCGUAUGGUAUUUAAGUUAGAAAAUGCAGAGUAGCUCUCCUGCUUAGAGGUGAACUGGGAACAAGUUUCAAAUUUCCAGACUUUCAUCCAUCCAUAAUGUUGAUUUCAGGACUUUUAAGAGUUAAGACUCGCAUCUCUCAUGGUUUAUCACCAAAGAUUUGUUUUGAUUUAAGUCAUUUCUCGUCCUCAUUUUUAUUUGAGUUGUAAUAGGGUAAAUCGCAGAUUCGAAGCAAAAGGAUCGAAUCCAGAAAUUUAAAAUGAUUAAAAAUGAAAAAAAUUUCAAUUUCCGCUGCUGAUUAUUUGGUAUAGAAUUGCAUUAGGGAUAACUGAACUUGCACAUCUCAGUUCCCAACUUCCUGUAUAUGUUUUCCUGUCACUUCUAUAUCAAUUUUUUUUUUAAUAUUAUGAGUAAUUAUUACUUCUCAUUCAAUAUUCAUGUGAAGACAGUAAGAUUUUACACAGAUAGAGAUAUUUUUUGCUGGAAAAAAUAUGGAGGUAAAAAAGCACAAUUUAGUAGGAUGAUUAAAUAUGUUUUUGGCUUGGAACUGAAGUGACUCCCUUCUUUUCCCCUUUUUCCAAGUUCAAUUUGUAUUUGUUGAUUCAUCUUUUUCUUUUUCUGUUGUUCAGUUUAGUGGUAAAUCAGUUGGAAUUCUUGGAUUGGGCAGGAUUGGUGCAGCGAUUGCGAAGAGAGCUGAAGCUUUUGGUUGUUCCAUAAGUUACCACUCUAGAUCUCAAAAACCAAAUUCAAAUUACAAAUACUUCUCAAAUGUCAUAGAUUUGGCCAAAAAUUGUCAAAUCUUGGUUGUGGCUUGUGCUUUGACAGAGGAAACGCAACAUAUCAUCAAUCAAGAGGUCAUUGAUGCAUUGGGUCCAAAGGGCGUUCUUAUCAACAUUGGAAGAGGUGCACAUGUUGAUGAACGUGAGCUUGUGUCUGCACUGCUUGAAGGCCGGCUAGGUGGUGCAGGGCUUGAUGUAUAUGAAAAUGAACCUGAGGCUCCUGAACAACUUUUGGGCCUUGGCAAUGUUGUCCUUCUGCCUCAUGUGGGAAGUGAUACUAUAGAGACCAGCAACGCAAUGGCAGACCUUGUGAUCGCCAACUUGGAGGCACACUUCGACAACAAACCUCUCUUGACUCCAGUAAUAUGAUUAUGUGAGGGAACGUGUUGUUGAUUGAUCUGGAAGCUUGAGCUCUUACUGUCAUUUAGGUAUCCUUAGGUUCUACUGAUAUUUGUUAUAUUAACAUCAUGGUUUCUGCUAUCUUGGAAGUCCAUUUAAUGAUUUUCACUUGUUAGCUAGGAUUUCAAAACAUUUACAGUGAUUUGAUAAUCUUACAAGUUACAAUACUCAUCUAGUUUAAGUACGAACCUUGACACUAUAUUUGGGAGGGAGUUUUUAGAGUUAAGUGUGGAUUUUUAAAGUAGCAAGUAUUUGAUCGACUUAUUAGGGAGCAAUGAUUUUUUAAGGAGGUUCUCUAAAACCUUCAUUUUUUCAACUUAUCAAAUUGG
rnacentral:misc_RNA from 1 species